AUUUAUAUAGUUUAUUAAAACAAUUUAUUUUCAUUAAAAAAAUGGUAUAUAUUACCUAUAAAUU
rnacentral:tRNA from 1 species